GAGAAGGCUAUGUUGGCCGGGCGACGGUUGUCCCGGUUUAAGCGUGUAGGCUGGUUUUCCAGGCAAAUCCGGAAAACUAAGGCUGAGGCGUGAUGACGAGGCACUACGGUGCUGAAGCAACAAAUGCCCUGCUUCCAGGAAAAGCCUCUAAGCAUCAGGUAACAUCAAAUCGUACCCCAAACCGACACAGGUGGUCAGGUAGAGAAUACCAAGGCGCUUGAGAGAACUCGGGUGAAGGAACUAGGCAAAAUGGUGCCGUAACUUCGGGAGAAGGCACGCUGAUAUGUAGGUGAAGUCCCUCGCGGAUGGAGCUGAAAUCAGUCGAAGAUACCAGCUGGCUGCAACUGUUUAUUAAAAACACAGCACUGUGCAAACACGAAAGUGGACGUAUACGGUGUGACGCCUGCCCGGUGCCGGAAGGUUAAUUGAUGGGGUCAGCGCAAGCGAAGCUCUUGAUCGAAGCCCCGGUAAACGGCGGCCGUAACUAUAACGGUCCUAAGGUAGCGAAAUUCCUUGUCGGGUAAGUUCCGACCUGCACGAAUGGCGUAAUGAUGGCCAGGCUGUCUCCACCCGAGACUCAGUGAAAUUGAACUCGCUGUGAAGAUGCAGUGUACCCGCGGCAAGACGGAAAGACCCCGUGAACCUUUACUAUAGCUUGACACUGAACAUUGAGCCUUGAUGUGUAGGAUAGGUGGGAGGCUUUGAAGUGUGGACGCCAGUCUGCAUGGAGCCGACCUUGAAAUACCACCCUUUAAUGUUUGAUGUUCUAACGUUGACCCGUAAUCCGGGUUGCGGACAGUGUCUGGUGGGUAGUUUGACUGGGGCGGUCUCCUCCUAAAGAGUAACGGAGGAGCACGAAGGUUGGCUAAUCCUGGUCGGACAUCAGGAGGUUAGUGCAAUGGCAUAAGCCAGCUUGACUGCGAGCGUGACGGCGCGAGCAGGUGCGAAAGCAGGUCAUAGUGAUCCGGUGGUUCUGAAUGGAAGGGCCAUCGCUCAACGGAUAAAAGGUACUCCGGGGAUAACAGGCUGAUACCGCCCAAGAGUUCAUAUCGACGGCGGUGUUUGGCACCUCGAUGUCGGCUCAUCACAUCCUGGGGCUGAAGUAGGUCCCAAGGGUAUGGCUGUUCGCCAUUUAAAGUGGUACGCGAGCUGGGUUUAGAACGUCGUGAGACAGUUCGGUCCCUAUCUGCCGUGGGCGCUGGAGAACUGAGGGGGGCUGCUCCUAGUACGAGAGGACCGGAGUGGACGCAUCACUGGUGUUCGGGUUGUCAUGCCAAUGGCACUGCCCGGUAGCUAAAUGCGGAAGAGAUAAGUGCUGAAAGCAUCUAAGCACGAAACUUGCCCCGAGAUGAGUUCUCCCUGACUCCUUGAGAGUCCUGAAGGAACGUUGAAG
rnacentral:rRNA from 1 species